rnacentral:rRNA from 1 species
GACGAACGCUGGCGGCGUGCCUAAUACAUGCAAGUCGAACGCAUUUUCUUUCACCGUAGCUUGCUACACCGAAAGAAAAUGAGUGGCGAACGGGUGAGUAACACGUGGGUAACCUGCCCAUCAGCGGGGGAUAACACUUGGAAACAGGUGCUAAUACCGCAUAAUUCCAUUUACCGCAUGGUAGAUGGAUGAAAGGCGCUUUUGCGUCACUGAUGGAUGGACCCGCGGUGCAUUAGCUAGUUGGUGGGGUAACGGCCUACCAAGGCUGCGAUGCAUAGCCGACCUGAGAGGGUGAUCGGCCACACUGGGACUGAGACACGGCCCAGACUCCUACGGGAGGCAGCAGUAGGGAAUCUUCGGCAAUGGACGCAAGUCUGACCGAGCAACGCCGCGUGAGUGAAGAAGGUUUUCGGAUCGUAAAACUCUGUUGUUAGAGAAGAACAAGGAUGAGAGUGGAAAGUUCAUCCCUUGACGGUAUCUAACCAGAAAGCCACGGCUAACUACG